rnacentral:lncRNA from 1 species
CAGCAGUCUAUGAACCAGGAAGUGAAUUUCAUCUUACACCAAAUCUACUGGUGCCUUGAUCCUGAAUUUCCCGGACUCUAGAACUGUGAGAAAUAAUUUUUUGUUGUUUAUAAGCCUCACACAGUCUACAGUAUUCUGUUAUAGGUGAUGGAGUAAUUCCAGAUAUCCAAAAGACUGGGACAUGUAGGACAAGGAUGGGUAAAGUAACCUUCCAGCAGGUGAAGAUUCAAGAAAAAACUGCACAUUCUCCUUGGUUAAGAGUGCUGUUCUUCAGGCACAGUGACCAACAACAUGGGCUUCGAGGCUGAAUCAUCAAAAGGAUACUUUGCCUGACUGUGGGGGCUACUCCCCUAAGAUCUCUUGCCCUCUACUCCUCCCUCCACUCCUGGCUUCUACAUCUGAGGUUAUACUGCGCUUUCUCCUUCAGGGAGGAGUCAGCUGAUCUUCAUUGAUGUUAUUUCACUGAUCUCAAUCCUCAACCUCCCAAAGUGUUUGAGAUUGUAUUCCACCUUUGACAGA